AUGAACGCUGGCGGCGUGCCUAAUACAUGCAAGUAGAGCGCUGAAGGAAGGAGCUUGCUCUUUCCGGAUGAGUUGCGAACGGGUGAGUAACGCGUAGGUAACCUGCCUGGUAGCGGGGGAUAACUAUUGGAAACGAUAGCUAAUACCGCAUAACAGUAGAUGUUGCAUGAUAUCUACUUAAAAGGUGCAAUUGCACCACUACCAGAUGGACCUGCGUUGUAUUAGCUAGUUGGUGAGGUAACGGCUCACCAAGGCGACGAUACAUAGCCGACCUGAGAGGGUGAUCGGCCACACUGGGACUGAGACACGGCCCAGACUCCUACGGGAGGCAGCAGUAGGGAAUCUUCGGCAAUGGACGGAAGUCUGACCGAGCAACGCCGCGUGAGUGAAGAAGGUUUUCGGAUCGUAAAGCUCUGUUGUAAGAGAAGAACGAGUGUGAGAGUGGAAAGUUCACACUGUGACGGUAUCUUACCAGAAAGGGACGGCUAACUACGUG
rnacentral:rRNA from 1 species